GCAUCUGUUCAAAAUGCCUUAUACGACUUGUUGAUGACAGAGAACCAGAAAAGGUGUCUCGACGUUCUCCCUGGUACUGCCAUGUCUGCGGAGGUCGAGCAGCGGGCCGCCUCCGGCCGCGGCCUGACUGGGAGGCCCGGGUGCUGGACUUUUUUCGGCACUCGCCCGUGGCUGCGCCUCCUGUCCCGCCCCAGCAGUCUGGAAGGAGCUUACGCGUGCUGUCCCUCUUCGAUGGAAUUGCCACUGGCAAGUUCGUGCUGGAUCACCUGGGCCUGUCAGUGGAGGCGUACUAUGCCAGUGAGGUAGACAAGGACGCCAUCCAUGUCGGACUCACUCGUCACGGUUCGUCGAUUACCUACCUGGGCCCAGUGGAGCA
rnacentral:lncRNA from 1 species